GGGUUCAAGUCCAGGAUCUUUGUCCUGCCUGCAGAUCACUGGGUCUAUAACCUAGUUGCAUGGCCAAGCUCCCCCAAGUGAGACUGGGAGGUGUGAUACGUAUGCUGGGUGGCCGUGUGCCCUCCUGAAAUUAGAGGCCUUGUUAUACAAGAAGAAGGAUACUGAGCAGGCCAAGAAAGAAGAGCUGGGUCCCCUUUGCAGGACCUCACAGGAGUGUAUACACUCAAAGUGUCAGCCAGGCUGUCAAUCUGAGAACCUGACUGGGGAAGAAUCUGCUUUCAAUUCAGGUAGGUGGUUGGCUGCAGUCACUGUCUUGUGCUGUAUAACCUACAGCAGCAGGAGAGGCGAUGUCUGGCCUCAGGCAGCUCCCCACCUUGUUUACAGGCUUUCAUCUGAUUAAGCCAGGCCCACCCAGGACCAUCUACCUUUCGAUUAAACUCAGAGAUGGACUAACUUAGCAGCUGAACCUGCAGCAUACCCUUGCCUUUGCCAUAGUCCAUUGGCUUGAAGCCGUUACUAGAGUACGGUCACACGCAAGGGAGGGGACCUGCGGGGCACAUACCAGGGCCUGAGGAUGGGUCCAUUUGCCACAGUGCCGACAUGCCUGUUGAAUAAAUAGCUGAAAGAGGGAAUAAAAAAUGCCUAUAUAAUGGACCGAAUGACCCCAUUUGUGCAGACGACAGAAACAUAGAUAGGACCGUCCUUUGGCUUUAAGGACUGUGUUGUUUCUCUGCACCACCCCGCUCCUCAUCCCCAGAGACACUCAAUUCUGCACCCAGUGCCGAUCCACCAAGUCCUCUCAAGCAGGGAACAAAGAACCCCAAACAAAGAAGCUGCGAGGAAGCAGGAAGCCCGUAGAUCACACCGCAGCCUCGAUGUCGGAGCCCUGUUGAAGUGUCGACAGUGUUUUCAUUCAGAGAAUCGCGGUAAUGGGGAACACAUUUUUAAUAAACAUAUGCAGCAUCGGGGUGUCUGGUGG